rnacentral:tRNA from 1 species
UGGGAGCUUGCCUAGUGGUAUAUUUCUCGCUUCGGGUGCGAGAGGCCUCGAGUUCGAUUCUCGCAACUCCCCU